CCUACGGGCGGCAGCAGUGGGGAAUAUUGCACAAUGGGCGCAAGCCUGAUGCAGCCAUGCCGCGUGUGUGAAGAAGGCCUUCGGGUUGUAAAGCACUUUCAGCGGGGAGGAAGGCGUUAAGGUUAAUAACCUUGGCGAUUGACGUUACCCGCAGAAGAAGCACCGGCUAACUCCGUGCCAGCAGCCGCGGUAAUACGGAGGGUGCAAGCGUUAAUCGGAAUUACUGGGCGUAAAGCGCACGCAGGCGGUCUGUCAAGUCGGAUGUGAAAUCCCCGGGCUCAACCUGGGAACUGCAUUCGAAACUGGCAGGCUAGAGUCUUGGAGAGGGGGGUAGAAUUCCAGGUGUAGCGGUGAAAUGCGUAGAGAUCGGGAGGAAUACCGGUGGCGAAGGCGGCCCCCUGGACAAAGACUGACGCUCAGGUGCGAAAGCGUGGGGAGCAAACAGGAUUAGAUACCCUAGUAGUC
rnacentral:rRNA from 1 species